rnacentral:rRNA from 1 species
GGGUUGUGAGGUUAAGCGACUAAGCGUACACGGUGGAUGCCCUGGCAGUCAGAGGCGAUGAAGGGCGUGCUAAUCUGCGAUAAGCGCCGGUAAGGUGAUAUGAACCGUUAUAACCGGCGAUACCCGAAUGGGGAAACCCAGUGUGAUUCGUCACACUAUCAUUAACUGAAUCCAUAGGUUAAUGAGGCGAACCGGGGGAACUGAAACAUCUAAGUACCCCGAGGAAAAGAAAUCAACCGAGAUUCCCCCAGUAGCGGCGAGCGAACGGGGAGGAGCCCAGAGCCUGAAUCAGCAUGUGUGUUAGUGGAAGCGUCUGGAAAGGCGCGCGAUACAGGGUGACAGCCCCGUACACAAAAGCGCAUGUGCUGUGAGCUCGAUGAGUAGGGCGGGACACGUGGUAUCCUGUCUGAAUAUGGGGGGACCAUCCUCCAAGGCUAAAUACUCCUGACUGACCGAUAGUGAACCAGUACCGUGAGGGAAAGGCGAAAAGAACCCCGGCGAGGGGAGUGAAAAAGAACCUGAAACCGUGUACGUACAAGCAGUGGGAGCACAGGUUUACCUGUGUGACUGCGUACCUUUUGUAUAAUGGGUCAGCGACUUAUAUUCUGUAGCAAGGUUAACCGAAUAGGGGAGCCGGAGGGAAACCGAGUCUUAAUUGGGCGUUAAGUUGCAGGGUAUAGACCCGAAACCCGGUGAUCUAGCCAUGGGCAGGUUGAAGGUUGGGUAACACUAACUGGAGGACCGAACCGACUAAUGUUGAAAAAUUAGCGGAUGACCUGUGGCUGGGGGUGAAAGGCCAAUCAAACCGGGAGAUAGCUGGUUCUCCCCGAAAGCUAUUUAGGUAGCGCCUCGUGAAUUCAUCUCCGGGGGUAGAGCACUGUUUCGGCUAGGGGGCCAUCCCGGCUUACCAACCCGAUGCAAACUGCGAAUACCGGAGAAUGUUAUCACGGGAGACACACGGCGGGUGCUAACGUCCGUCGUGAAGAGGGAAACAACCCAGACCGCCAGCUAAGGUCCCAAAGUCAUGGUUAAGUGGGAAACGAUGUGGGAAGGCCCAGACAGCCAGGAUGUUGGCUUAGAAGCAGCCAUCAUUUAAAGAAAGCGUAAUAGCUCACUGGUCGAGUCGGCCUGCGCGGAAGAUGUAACGGGGCUAAACCAUGCACCGAAGCUGCGGCAGCGACACUGUGUGUUGUUGGGUAGGGGAGCGUUCUGUAAGCCUGUGAAGGUGUGUCGUGAGGCAUGCUGGAGGUAUCAGAAGUGCGAAUGCUGACAUAAGUAACGAUAAAGCGGGUGAAAAGCCCGCUCGCCGGAAGACCAAGGGUUCCUGUCCAACGUUAAUCGGGGCAGGGUGAGUCGACCCCUAAGGCGAGGCCGAAAGGCGUAGUCGAUGGGAAACGGGUUAAUAUUCCCGUACUUGGUGUUACUGCGAAGGGGGGACGGAGAAGGCUAUGUUGGCCGGGCGACGGUUGUCCCGGUUUAAGCGUGUAGGUGUGUGUUCCAGGUAAAUCCGGUUCACUUUAACACUGAGGCGUGACGACGAGGCACUACGGUGCUGAAGCAACAAAUGCCCUGCUUCCAGGAAAAGCCUCUAAGCAUCAGGUAACAUCAAAUCGUACCCCAAACCGACACAGGUGGUCAGGUAGAGAAUACCAAGGCGCUUGAGAGAACUCGGGUGAAGGAACUAGGCAAAAUGGUGCCGUAACUUCGGGAGAAGGCACGCUGACACGUAGGUGAAGUGAUUUACUCAUGGAGCUGAAGUCAGUCGAAGAUACCAGCUGGCUGCAACUGUUUAUUAAAAACACAGCACUGUGCAAACACGAAAGUGGACGUAUACGGUGUGACGCCUGCCCGGUGCCGGAAGGUUAAUUGAUGGGGUCAGCGCAAGCGAAGCUCCUGAUCGAAGCCCCGGUAAACGGCGGCCGUAACUAUAACGGUCCUAAGGUAGCGAAAUUCCUUGUCGGGUAAGUUCCGACCUGCACGAAUGGCGUAAUGAUGGCCAGGCUGUCUCCACCCGAGACUCAGUGAAAUUGAACUCGCUGUGAAGAUGCAGUGUACCCGCGGCAAGACGGAAAGACCCCGUGAACCUUUACUAUAGCUUGACACUGAACAUUGAGCCUUGAUGUGUAGGAUAGGUGGGAGGCUUUGAAGUGUGGACGCCAGUCUGCAUGGAGCCGACCUUGAAAUACCACCCUUUAAUGUUUGAUGUUCUAACGUGGACCCGUUACCCGGGUUGCGGACAGUGUCUGGUGGGUAGUUUGACUGGGGCGGUCUCCUCCUAAAGAGUAACGGAGGAGCACGAAGGUUGGCUAAUCCUGGUCGGACAUCAGGAGGUUAGUGCAAUGGCAUAAGCCAGCUUGACUGCGAGCGUGACGGCGCGAGCAGGUGCGAAAGCAGGUCAUAGUGAUCCGGUGGUUCUGAAUGGAAGGGCCAUCGCUCAACGGAUAAAAGGUACUCCGGGGAUAACAGGCUGAUACCGCCCAAGAGUUCAUAUCGACGGCGGUGUUUGGCACCUCGAUGUCGGCUCAUCACAUCCUGGGGCUGAAGUAGGUCCCAAGGGUAUGGCUGUUCGCCAUUUAAAGUGGUACGCGAGCUGGGUUUAGAACGUCGUGAGACAGUUCGGUCCCUAUCUGCCGUGGGCGCUGGAGAACUGAGGGGGGCUGCUCCUAGUACGAGAGGACCGGAGUGGACGCAUCACUGGUGUUCGGGUUGUCAUGCCAAUGGCACUGCCCGGUAGCUAAAUGCGGAAGAGAUAAGUGCUGAAAGCAUCUAAGCACGAAACUUGCCCCGAGAUGAGUUCUCCCUGAGACUUUAGAGUCUCCUGAAGGAACGUUGAAGACGACGACGUUGAUAGGCCGGGUGUGUAAGCGCAGCGAUGCGUUGAGCUAACCGGUACUAAUGAACCGUGAGGCUUAACCUUACAACGCCGAAG